UACACUUAUGUAUUUGUUUUUGUUUAACAUGUGGACAAAGACUUACUGAUAAGAGCAAAAAAUAAAUCUUCUUUGCAACCCAGAACUCAUUGUUCAGUAUGAGUUUUAAUACAUAUAAGAAGGGAAAUU
ensembl:snoRNA small nucleolar RNA SNORA40